CUGCAACAAACACGUUUACAACUUUACAUGGACAACUCCACCAGUCUGCCUGCAGCAAGAACCUCACGCAAGUAAUCAAAGCCCACUAUCGGAUGUCUGGCUCAGACUUGUCUGGCUCAGACUUGUCAGACUCCUGUCCUCCAGCAACCCCUGCAUGCUGCGCUCCUGCUGCUCCCUCUUCCGGCGUAUCAUCAGGGACAGUUGUGCUGCCAUUUUCCAGGACAUUUACCGGUGGAGCUUGGCCGCCCAAAUCAGGCUCAGCAGCGCUUUGACUGCUCUCAGAGAUGAAGGACGUCCCAACAGCUGGCGUCACCACAGGUGCAGAGCUGUCUCCCAGCCUGUCAAUGUCUGCUGCCAUUGCGGGCGACUGCGCAUCAAA
rnacentral:lncRNA from 1 species